CCUACGGGUGGCAGCAGUGGGGAAUAUUGCGCAAUGGGGGCAACCCUGACGCAGCAACGCCGCGUGAUUGAUGAAGGUCUUCGGGUUGUAAAGCUCUUUUAUCGGGGACGAAUUUUGACGGUACUCGACGAAUAUGCUCCGGCUAACUACGUGCCAGCAGCCGCGGCUAUACGCAGGGAGCAAGCGUUAUCCGGAUUUACUGGGUGUAAAGGGGGUGUAGGCGGGCAUGCAAGCCAGGAGUGAAAUCUGGGGGCUGAACCCCCAAAGUGCGUUUGAAACUGCGUGUCUUGCGUGAUGGAGAGGCAGGCGGAAUGCCCGGUGUAGCGGUGAAAUGCGUAGAUAUUGGGAGGAACA
rnacentral:rRNA from 1 species